AGUGAACGCUGGCGGUAGGCCUAACACAUGCAAGUCGAACGGCAGCACAGUAAGAGCUUGCUCUUACGGGUGGCGAGUGGCGGACGGGUGAGGAAUACAUCGGAAUCUACUUUUUCGUGGGGGAUAACGUAGGGAAACUUACGCUAAUACCGCAUACGACCUACGGGUGAAAGUAGGGGAUCUUCGGACCUUGCGCGAUUGAAUGAGCCGAUGUCGGAUUAGCUAGUUGGCGGGGUAAAGGCCCACCAAGGCGACGAUCCGUAGCUGGUCUGAGAGGAUGAUCAGCCACACUGGAACUGAGACACGGUCCAGACUCCUACGGGAGGCAGCAGUGGGGAAUAUUGGACAAUGGGCGCAAGCCUGAUCCAGCCAUACCGCGUGGGUGAAGAAGGCCUUCGGGUUGUAAAGCCCUUUUGUUGGGAAAGAAAAGCAGCAGGUUAAUACCCCGCUGUUCGGACGGUACCCAAAGAAUAAGCACCGGCGAACUGCGU
rnacentral:rRNA from 1 species